AACCAAAAAAGUGUGAUAAAUAACAUUAGUCUUCUGCAUUUAAUUUACUAAUCUUUGGAAGAACUUUUUCUUUUUCAUUUUUUAUUGAUUUAUUAAACAAUCAAUAAUUAAAAGUAGAGUUAUAAUGGUUCAUAGAGUAAAAUUUUUUAAUAAUCUCAUAAAUUUAAUUAGUUGAAUGGACAAAAUUUUAUUAUAUGGGGCAAUUUAAAAUUUCGGUGGGGGUAUUUUACUAAAAUUUCAUAAAUAACAUAAAAAAUUAAUUAAAUAUUUUCAAAUAUUCUUAGCUUCUUCAAAGUGGGCUCUGUCCCUCAAACAGAAGACAAACAUACGGAGAAAAAGGUUUCAUAUAUAGAAAAUAUUAGUAAAUAACCAAAAGCAAGCAAGGACUCUUCACUUA
rnacentral:misc_RNA from 1 species